AUACGGAGGGUGCAAGCGUUAUUCGGAAUCACUGGGCGUAAAGGACGCGUAGGCGGGUUGGCAAGUCAGAUGUGAAAUCCUACAGCUUAACUGUAGAACUGCAUUUGAAACUGCUAACCUUGAGUAUGGGAGGGGGAGAUGGAAUUAGUGGUGUAGGGGUAAAAUCCGUAGAUAUCACUAGGAAUACCGAAAGCGAAGGCGAUUUCCUGGAACAUAACUGACGCUAAGGCGUGAAAGCGUGGGGAGCAAACAGGAUUAGAAACCCUAGUAGUCC
rnacentral:rRNA from 1 species